rnacentral:lncRNA from 1 species
CUAGAACGCUUAGGAAUCUGUUACUCAAAUGCAAACAUUAUUACAAUGGUGUAUUCGGGAAAUUAAGGUGUGUGUGUGUCCAAGUAAGAAUAAUGGCUUUUUGGUUCGGGAAAAGAAAUGGGUGGACGGGAUGGAUGGGUGUUCCUUGUGUGGGAUGCCCAGUUGUUGUGCUCGUACCUUGGUGGUUGGGCAAUGUUGGGAGGUAUCCA